rnacentral:pre_miRNA from 1 species
UUUUAUCCCUAUCAAACAUCCAUAGUUUAACAGGUAACCUGUCGAAUUGUGGUUGUUCAAUAUGUACCCUUGUCGAACUUUGGUUGUUCGAUAGGGUG